rnacentral:rRNA from 1 species
UACGGAGGGUGCGAGCGUUGUCCGGAAUCACUGGGCGUAAAGGGCGCGUAGGCGGCCAGAUAAGUCCGGUGUGAAAGUCACAGGCUCAACCUGUGAAUGCCGCUGGAAACUGUCUGGCUUGAGUCCGGAAGGGGCGAGUGGAAUUCCUGGUGUAGCGGUGAAAUGCGUAGAGCUCGGGAGGAACAUCAGUUGCGAAGGCGGCCACCUGGACCAGCACUGACACUGAGGCACGAAAGCGUGGGGAGCAAACAGG